GCCAGCAUAGCUCAGUUGGUAGAGCAGCCGCCUUGUAAGCGGCAGGUCAUCGGUUCAAGUCCGAUUGCUGGCUCCC
rnacentral:tRNA from 2 species